rnacentral:rRNA from 1 species
GACGUAGGGCGCGAGCGUUGUCCGGAAUUAUUGGGCGUAAAGGGCUCGUAGGCGGUUUGUCGCGUCGGGAGUGAAAACCAGGUGCUUAACACCUGGCUUGCUUUCGAUACGGGCAGACUAGAGGUAUGCAGGGGAGAACGGAAUUCCUGGUGUAGCGGUGAAAUGCGCAGAUAUCAGGAGGAACACCGGUGGCGAAGGCGGUUCUCUGGGCAUGACCUGACGCUGAGGAGCGAAAGUGUGGGGAGCGAACAGG